GAGCGACAUCAGCUAAGCGAGACUACCCGCUGAACUUAAGCAUAUCAGUAAGCGGAGGAAAAGAAACUAACAAGGAUUCCAUUAGUAACUGCGAGUGAAAAUGGAUUAGCCCAAGGUUGAAUCAGGCUGGCCGACGCCAGUCCGAAAUGUAACCUAAGGAUUAGGGAUGUCUGGUGUUGAGCGCAAAUAAUUUUAGUGGAAACUAAAGCCAAAGAAGGUGAUAGCCCUGUAUUUGUUGCGCUCCAGCAUUGGAAUAUUUUCCCUGAUUCCACGAGUAGGAAUGUUUGAAAUUGCAUUCUGAAUGGGUGAUAAGACGCAUCCAAGGCUAAAUAUAAGUUAGGAGACCGAUAGCAUACAAGUACUGUGAAGGAAAGGUGCAAAGGACUUUGAAAAAAGGGUUAAAAGCAUUUGAAACCAUUUAUGUGGAAGCGAUUGAUCUAGCUACUCGCAACAGAUAGGGUAUUAGUGGAAGCUUAGAUUAGUUUGUACUUUAUUGAUGAUGAAAGCCUAAAAAACUUUAGUCGUUUCUUGAGUGCAGGCGGAUUUUUAAGUUAUUACCAUUUUUACCUGUUGCCAGCCGCCAUGAUACGUCGAUUUAGUAGUCUGUAUCGAGAGUUUAUUGGCUUGCCUUUAAACUUCUUUAUGGGAGAAAAGUUGAUUAUUAUGGUCCGAUUAUUAAGGUUAAUCAAUUUAUUUGUUAUGGUAGUUAAUAUGUUUUAUUUAUUGGCUUGUGUUCACCGAUUAGACAUUAGUCUAGUUGACUGACCUGGUUGAUACUUGGGAUGUAUUUGGCUGCUGUAAUAGAAGCGGUUAGCUGAAAUUAUUUGGUUGGAAUGAGAGGUAGACAAUCGUCCCGUCUUGAAACACGGAUCAAGGAGGCUCCUUUAUGUGCGAGUCUAAGGGUGAUUAAAACCUGGAGGCGUAUUGAAAGAAAGAAUACUCUGAAAGAUCGUAUGUAAAUAUCUUCUGUAAAGAGUGCCCGGAUCAUGAGGAUUCUAUUCCGAAAGGAUCUGCGGUUGAGCACAUAGAGGAGGACCCGAAAGGAUGUGAACUAUGCUUGAGGAAGGCGAAGCCAGGGGAAACUCUGGUGGAGGCUUGUAGCGAUACUGACGUGCAAAUCGUUCGUCUAACUUGAGUAUAGGGGCGAAAGACUAAUCGAACAUCCUAGUAGCUGGUUCCUCUCGAAGUUUCCCUCAGGAUAGCUGGAACCCAUCAGAACACUAUUACCGUCCUGUAAAGAUAUUGAUUAGCAGACUCGGGGGUGUAACGCCUUCAGCUGAUUCUCAAACUUUGAACGGGCGGAAUCUAUAUGAUUGUUUUUAAUUAACAGUUAUAUUAAUGAGAGAGCUUGACAAACUUUCUCAGAUUAUAGUAGGUUCCUAGUGGGCCAUUUUUGGUAAGCAGAACUGGCGAUGUGGGAUGAACCAAAUGUUGGGAUAAGGCGCCCAACAACUGCUAAUAGAUACCACAAAAGGUGUUAGUUCAUUAUGACAGCUGGACUGUGGCCAUGGAAGUCGGCAUCAGCUAAGAAGUGUGUAACAACUUACCAGCCAAAUGAACUAGUCCUGAAAAUUGAUGGCGCUACAGCAGUUGGCCGAUGCCCAACCGUUAAAGUGAUUUAAAACCCAUUUUAACGAGUAGAGAGGCGUGGAGGUAACGUCGAAGUAUGGCUGUAGAGUCGUAUGGAGUUGCCUCUAGUGCAGAUCUUGAUGGUAGUAGCAAAUAUUCAAAAGAACGACUUCACUUUGAAGGCCGAAGUGGAGAAGGGUUCCAUAACAAUGGAAUUCAUUUAUGGGUCAGUCGGUCCUAAGCCUUGGGUGAAAACUCUCAAAUAUGGUAUACUUGUCUGAUUGAGCGGGUCUGUAGCAAUAUGGGUUCGUUUGGUUGGAGUAAAACUUGUAUACUAUAAGGGCGAAAGGUAAUCGAAUUAAAAUUUUCGAACCAAUAGAUAAAAGUUUGAGGGUAACCAAUUAUAGUGUGACUAUCAAUUCUGGGCGGAGGCAGAGUUAUCUUUUCUAUCUAACACCAAUUUGCUUCCUAAAAAAAAGCUUGGGGGCCACUGAAUCAGGUCAACUGGAGAAGUGGUUCUUAUGGUGAAAUAGUACCGACCAUUGGUUGGUAUCUCCUGUCCUAGAAUUGGUCCUUGAAAAUCGCUCUAUAUUAUUAAAGUAUAGUUUACUAUGCUGGCUUUUAUUUAUUGUCCGUACCAAUAACCACAUCAGGUCUCCAAGGUGAAUAGCCUCUGGCCAAAUGUAUUAAUGUAGAUAAGGGAAGUCGGCAAAACCGAUCCGUAACUUCGGGAUAAGGAUUGGCUCUAAAGACUGGUUUUGUCGACUAUAAGAAGAUUAGUUGGAUUUAGUUGAGAUUGUUAGGGGCAACUUUGACAGUUUCUUCUUGUCUGAUUAAUAGUGUCUUAUAGAGACAUCGGGGCAACUCGGUGUCGACUUCGGCGAUUCAUUUAACAGUUAAUUUAGAACUGUAACGAUCACCGGGAAUCCAACUGUUUAAUUAAAACAAAGCAUUGUGAUGAGCCUAACGGCCAUUGACACAAUGUGAUUUCUGCCCAGUGCUCUGAAUGUCAAAGUGAAGAAAUUCAAAGUAGCACGGGUAAACGGCGGGAGUAACUAUGACUCUCUUAAGGUAGCCAAAUGCCUCGUCAUCUAAUUAGUGACGCGCAUGAAUGGAUCAAUGAGAUUCCCACUGUCCCUAACUACUAUACAGCGAAACCACAGCCAGGGGAACGGGCCUGGCCAUUACAGCGGGGAAAGAAGACCCUGUUGAGCUUGACUCUAGUCUGAUAUUGCAUAGUGACCCGGGAGGUGUAGAAUAGGUGGGAGGGGCAACCCGACGGUGAAAUACCACCCCUUCUGGCGUUACUUUGCUAACUUGGAAUUAACAAUACAGUCUUUGAAUCAUUUCUUAGACUGAUUAUAGCCACUUUAUUCGGUAAAUCCACGGUCGAGGCAGUAUUUAUUCUUGCAGCAAUGUUGGGGUAGGUAUUGUAGUAGAUCCACUGGACCCGGAUUAACUGUCGACCAAGGACAGUUUCAGGUGGGGAGUUUGGCUGGGGCGGCACAUUUGUUAAAAAAUAACGCAAGUGUCCUAAGGGUGGCUCAGUGGGAACAGAAAUCUCACGUAGAGUAAAAGGGCAAAAGCCACCUUUAUUCUGACUUUCAGUACUAGUCGGAAAGACGAAAGUCUGGCCUAUCGAUCCUUUACAUGCCUUUGUCUUAGGCUUAGAGGUGUCAGAAAAGUUACCACAGGGAUAACUGGCUUGUGGCAACCAAGCGCUCAUAGCGACGUUGCUUUUUGAUCCUUCGAUGUCGGCUCUUCUUAUCAUUGCGAAGCAGAAUUCGCAAAGUGUUGGAUUGUUCACCCUCUAACAAGGAACGUGAGCUGGGUUUAGACCGUCGUGAGACAGGUUAGUUUUACCCUCCUGUAUAUCUAAUUAACUGCGUAACGAAUAUCUUGACGGUAGCAUGAUUUAGUACGAGAGGAACUGUCAUGCCUGAUCUCUGGUCUGUAGGUUUGUUCGACAGGACAGUGACCUGCAGCUACCAUCAGUUGGAUAAUGGCUGAACGCCUCUAAGCCAGAAUCCAUGCCGGAAGUUUAGAUAUUUAAACUCGU
rnacentral:rRNA from 1 species